UAUGUAUUUCAUGCGCUCGUAUCGUGUACGGUUUUUAAGUAACGUUGUUGGCAAUAUCAUGUUUAUAUUUAGUAAUGGCGUAAGUGUACUACGAGUUUGACUCCAAUGCGAUAAACACAAAAUACACCUUUCCAAUGCGGUUAUUGUAGCAGUGUAAUAAAUCUCGGCGUCUUGUGCGAAUAAUUUUACCUUAAUAAGUUUUUUAGUGAUGAAAAAAAACUUAUUUUUCUUUGAUCGUCGACGGAAUUUACGGAGCCCCUUAAUCCGCAGGGACACACUCCGCAUAUACCUAGCGCCGACUCUGAGUUGUAUAGUAAAAAAAAAGAAAAAUUGUAUUCUAGAAAGUCAGAAAGACCUUCUAGAGUUAAUGCAGUCGUGUUCUCCGCAUUUCUACAUUUACGCCACUGACACGUAGAAACAUUUAAAAAGAAAACGAUUUUUAUCGAUGGCAUAGAAUUUUUUGGAGACAAGUGAAUUCGAUUAGCGAUGGUCGUGAAUUUUCCGUACUAAAACACAAAGCACAGACGUUCUCCAUGGUGGACGCAGGUGCUUGUUAUUCGGUUGUAUAAUAUUGUUACAUUGGGUCUGAGGUGUGCAUGUCGCUAAUCGAGACAUACCAUCCACAUCGACUGCCUUUAUUCCAUUAAAUUAAUACAUUCUGAAUUCAACGGAUUCCGGUGUUUCUAUGUGGUUUUGCAUGACACAAGUUAUAACUUUCUCACAUGAUAAAUUAUCCAAAUAUCGCGAUGAACGAUUCCAGCAAAAACACCUUGCAACGCAGUUCUAUGUUAAAUUAUACAUUAAAAUUGUGCAGCAUAUACAUAAAUAUAAAGUCUAGUAAACACAUUGGAAUACGUUACAAAUACUUACCUUACCCAAUAGAGCAAGUCAUUGUAAAAUUGCUCACGAACUAUAGAUAAAAAAGAUGAAAAAUCCGUUGAGCUCACUUGAAUCGAAAAGCCGUUCGUUGAGAACGAACGUUGGUCGUCCUUGAAGUCGUACUCAACCGAAAUUGGGUUACCGCGACGUAGAACGGUUAUAGUCGACCAAGUACACGGUAAUCUUCGGACCGUGUCGGCAUAAGGAUAGGAUGUAAGGAUAAUGUUAUACCUUAGGCGGAACCUAGGACACCGAUUCUUUGUUCAGCUGCCAGGAAUCCGAUGGCCUUGAGACCAUUGUUAUUGUCAUUAAUAUCAGAACAUACCUAUAUUUAUCACGUACAAUGUAUGGGUGUCGUUAAAAUAUAAUGUUUCAUAUUAACGGGCUACAGUUCUUAGUAAACACGAUUAAUUUUAGUAUGCCCACAAAUACUAAAUUAUUUUUUGUCGCCGUAUAGACUAAACCAAUCUAUUCGAUAAAAAAAAAAAAACACUCAUACUGCAAGUUAUAUGUUAGUCAACUUUCUAAAUGUGUAUUUUUCAUUGAAGGAAAACUCGAAAGUUUAUAUCUAUUGCUUUCUUAUUUAUUUUUUCCAGUUUAUAUCAGAAGCGUAAAUAAAUCAAAUAAAUUACCAAGUGCCGAAGUGGGUGUAAGUACAUUCUGCCGUCAAAAUUACCUACUCGCCAAUGUGCACAUAUAUUUCUCGAAUGACAUAACUUUGUAUAAAUUAGAUAAAUAAAGAAUCCAAAAAUGUAAGAGAUAAAUUUUCGUUGGCGUAGUAAAUUGUCCGAUCUUCAAUCGUUUCAAAUCAGUUUUGUGUUAGCAAAUAAAUGUACGUACUCUAAACCAAUUGGAUAUCGAUAAAAAGUGAAAUAUUAUCUCGACAUUUAUUUUGUAAAAGGAUUCUAUGUCGUGUGCCUUUAAACAGUAAAGCUAAAAAGUUUAUACAAAAUACUAUUUCUGCAUUAAAAAAUACCGUAAGUAUCAAAUAAUUUUUGAAUAGCUUAUAUUUCUUUUACUAGUCAGGAGUUAAGUUCGGUUCAAAGUCCGUAUGUGGAAUGUUCAGAAUGCAAAUUUCAACUAUGUACACUUUGUUUUCAUAAAAUCAUUAUUAGUGAACCGUUAUUUAGUGAAAAGAUCAGAAUAGUUGAUACAUCUGCCGAUGCUAGAAGAUCGAUCGAAAUGUAAGCACUGUAUUCUAAAAAAUAUAAAAAAUAAUGCUAUAGCUCUAUUCUGAUAUGUUUGUUUGAAAUAAUAUGAAUAAUUUAAAUAAAAAUGUAUAUUAGACUGCAUUUACAACACAGUUUUCUACUUCUUUUUAUUCACACUUCUAGACACUGGGUUUUAUUUGUACAAAAUAAUGGUGGUAGAUAUUCAAUAGCAUACGUUAUUGUCCUUGUAAAUACGAAUUGAAAAUUUAGAAUAGAGACGUACAAUUGCAUUGGAUGUUUCAAUUAUUUCAGAUAAUUUUAAAGUUUCUGUAAGCUGUGACACUUUUACAAAAUUAAUAUAUUUAUAUUGAAACGAAAUAAACUGUCAUUGUUUUGGCAAGUGGAUAUUUUUACAUGAAACUAUUUUAGGUAACAAAGAAUUAAUGUGUUCUACGACAUUGCCGCUUUUAACAAAAAUUGUUUUUUCUUAUUUAUUGUUCAAAUAAAUGACAAAAUGCACUCGUUUUAAAAUAUUUAAAGCGAAGGUGUUUGUAGAAUUAUUACUUUUUUGUAACGGAGCGUCUAAAUAAUUAAUUGCAUUGUCACGUUGAUUAAGACAUGAAUCUUCUGGCACUGGUCGACUGAAAUGGAAGAAGUAAGUCGUGCUCUGGUUAUCGGUAACUGCAAUACACUGGAUUUCUGAAAAACGUCAGAUUGUUUUAUGGACUCUUGUGAUAGUUCUUGCUGGCAACUAUCACAAUAUUAUUAGGACGUUUUCAACCGUUUUGAGUUAUGAAAUCAUAUAUCUCGUUGUGUCUACUUGUUACACUGUCGGCUUUGAGUUUAUUCAAUUUGUGAUGCCGUCCAUGAAAUAAUAAUAAUAUGCUGGCCGUCUAGAGUUUUACAUUAUCGGGCUCGGUAAUACCCUUCACAAUAGACUUACGAUGGUCGUUGUGUAUUACUCGACCGGUCUCCGUAAAUACUAAAUACCACCGCGCCAUUAUUCGUUGUAAACUGCUCAGUAGGUGCAUGUUUUAUUUAUGGUGCAGACAUGACAGUGCCGGUGGUGUUUUGGUCCAUUUAAUAAAGUUCAAAACAUUUCUACCACUUGCAAGUGUAAUAUUCUUCUAUUAGUUUUACGAGUUUUUAAUACGCCGAGUAGAGUUGCGGUGGGCGGACACUAAAAACUUUGAAACUGACCAAAUAUAUCAAUUGCUAUAAAUAUAUUAUUUAUCUAUACAUAAAUAUACGUAUGUAUCAAUUCUAUAUUUUAACUUUUAAAGUGAAAUACAACAAUUAAAAAUAUUUCAGGCUCUCCACUGUUGAGAAUCUGUUUCAUUUAAGCAACAAGUAUAGUGAGGUAUAGUUAUCGUUUCUUCAUUUCCUACUAAUAAAUGUCAAUAUU